UACGGGGGGGCAAGCGUUGUUCGGAAUUACUGGGCGUAAAGGGUUCGUAGGUGGCUUGCUAAGUCAGACGUGAAAUCCCUCAGCUUAACUGGGGAACUGCGUCUGAGACUGGCAAGCUUGAGUGCAGGAGAGGAACGCGGAAUUCCAGGUGUAGCGGUGAAAUGCGUAGAUAUCUGGAGGAACACCGGUGGCGAAGGCGGCGUUCUGGACUGUAACUGACACUGAAGAACGAAAGCCAGGGGAGCAAACGGG
rnacentral:rRNA from 1 species